AGACAGCUCAUCUGAGGUGAGAAGUCUGUCUUUCAAGCCACUUGCUGCCUCCUUCAGAAGCUUUUUUGUCUGGUCCACACAGCUCAACUAGUUUAUGGCUAGUCUGAGCAUCUUCUGUGUAGCUCAUUUUGUCUGACAGUGUCAACAGUCCUUACCAAUUAUAUAUGCUUGAGGCAAGAAGGCUCUAGUGAAUCUUGCCAGUUUCUGGGGCUUCCUGAAGCUGUUAAGUCGUUUAUUUCUGAGCUUCCUGAGAUACUCUAUAGGACUGAAUGUUGACAUCUCUCAUUACAGAAUCCAAUUUCUUUACUUCUGCUUUAAUAUCCUGUGUUUUAAGGUGCUUCUUCUGUUGUGGUAUAAUUAAAAAAGGGCUCGACCUGGUCCCAUGAGUUCCCACUCCGCGCAAAUCCACACACUCUGUUUCUCUGUCAGCCACUUUCACACAUUGCCCACUAGGUGGGUUUUUACCACCCUUGAUAGAUAUAUUGUGUUCCACAGGCCAUGCUAGCGUGGCCCCACACCAUGCUAGCCCCAAGCAUUUUAUAGCUUAGCAUGGCUUCCUGUCACAAACUCUGCUCACAAUCCCAACAAACCAGUUAAGUCAUGACUCAACAAACUGGAACCCAACAGUCAGAUUUAUAUGCUAAAUGCUCAAUGUACAAUACAUUCCCACAAUUAACUUACAACCAAUUGGUAAGGAUAUAAAUCAUCCUUAGAUAUAUUUUGUUCAUCUAGACAUACAAAGUUCUGUAAACAUCCAUCCCUUAAAAAUAGUUAUAACAUCCGCCACUUUGUUCUCUUAGCUGUUCCCUCUCCUCUCACUUGCUCUGGUAUCCUCCUCCUUAAAACUUUUCUCCCACCCAUCCUUCCUUCUCAUCCAAGGUCAGUGGUUCUCAAUCUGUGAGUCAUGGCCCCUCUGGGGUCAAACGACCUUUUCACAGGGCUUGCCACGACCACUCUGCAUAUCAGAUAUUUACAUUAUGAUUCUGUAAAAAAAAUUUUAUUGGUUAUUUUUUACAUUUCAAAUGUUGUCCUUCUUGGGGAACGUAUAAAACUUUUCAGUGUUUAUAUGUUGAAUUUUUCUUCUAACAAUUAAAAUAAUAUAAUUACAAUGAUGGACAUGGAGCUGCAAGACAUGGGGUUAAAUAUUAUAUGAUAGUACGUUUCUGAAUGCAUUGUGGAAACCAAAUGACAGUUGCAUGAUACCUCUAGAGUGGAAAAUGGAAUGAAUAAAUCAUAUACCAUCAAAACGUUCCCUUCUACUAUCAAACUUUCCCUUGUCUCAUGUUGUUUACAAGCAGCUUAACAGAGUUUACUACCAUAAAAUCAAUAUAGAGAAAGAGGAGAUGGAAGUUCUACAAACAAAAUGUUCUUACCGACAGAAACCAGGUUGCUAUAAUUCUCCAACAUCACAUCAAUGUACAAAGCCCUCUGAGCAGAGUUCAGGCACUCUCACUCCUGGGAGAAAUCCACAGCCUAAAACAGACCCUAAAAGAAAAAAAAAUGCAAUUUGACUAUGUGCUAUGGGUCAGUGCUUUCCUGGAUAUAAGGAGAUGGGAUAUAGAUAAGCGAAGACUAUUAUUCAAAAAGAUGAUUUCUAAUACAGUCACACGGUGUUCUAACUGUGUAAAAACAGGAUAAUACAAUAGUCUCACAAGAAUAUCCAUGAAAAAAAAAGACACACAUUUAAAAUCUGGACACUGUUAUCUGUUAGAUCUGCUUGUGUUUGUGUCUACAGGAUCACAGUCGUCUACAUGGCUCAGAUACAGGAUCACAGUCUACAUGGCUCAGAUACAGGAUUACAGUCUACAUGGCUCAAAUACAGGAUUACAGUCUACAUGGCUCAGAAGUCAAAUUUGUGAUAAGGAAAUGUGCUUUGAAAGCUGUACCUGAAGAUCUUGCUAGAAUGUUGACUCCGAAUCACCCCUGUCUGCUCUUCGGCUAUUCUACCAAGUUCAGUUGGGAUUUUUAAACUCUAGGUUAAAUCCACACCAUUAAAUAGUGAAGGAGUAGAUACGAAAGGCAGAAUUCAUGAUUAAUUUUAUAGGCAGAGCUUUGUUUUUUUCCACAGUAUUAAGGAACAUAAAAACACAGCAUACUUUUAAUUUAACAUUAACAUAUAAGAUCAAGUAGUCCAUGAAAUUAAUUUUAUGAGAAUAUUGGGCUACUUCCAAGCACAUUUGGGAUAAUCCAAAAUUUUCCAAAAUUAUAGGUAUAAACCAACUUAGACAAAUAAUGAUUCCAUAAGUUUUGAAGAAUAUAUUCCCAAAGAGGUAUAAAAUUUGAGGGAAGCCCCAAAACACACCAAGUAAUGUUUAGGUUGCAGUAAUUGUGGAUGCAUUGAAUAAUGACGCAAAUUUCCUGGGAUUGAAUGAAUAUACUAAUGUAGUCACAAAUUGUGUGAGGAUUUUACUCACUUCUCAGUGUUUUUCAAAUAUACUAUAGCUCAGGAAAAUGUUUCAGGAGAAAAUUUGAGCUAUUCUGUCUGAAUUUUAUAGUUCUUAAUGUGUUCUUUUUCGUAAGUAUGGUGUAUUGUCUAUCAGGAUUUUAGAUUAGUAGUGUUUGUGAUUCUUCUUUUCUUUCUCUGAAAAUACAAAGAUGUAGUGACAUAGUCUGACUAUUCCAUGAGUCGGGGAUACAAAUGUAAACCUGUCGUCCAGAAUCCAUUUCCAAAAUCUCCACUUUAACACAGUGCAGCUUCAGGGUAGGAGAGGAGAGCUAUCACUCUCACAAGAACUGACCAGAACAAAGCAACCACGAGGAAUGCUCUCUCUGCAUCAAAUGUGAUGGCUUAUGCACACCAAUCGCUUACGCUGUACUCAAGACAUUUUAACUGAUGCAUUCCACAUAAUGCUAUUCCACAGAAGGAGUCCCAGCCAGAAAGAGCUGCAAAAUUGUAUUCUGUUAAGCAAAAAAAAAAAAAAAAAAAAAGGAAAUGAAAAAAUACUGACUUCUCUAGUUUGAGAGGUUACCACUGAGCAUCCUAACCAAGUGAAUGAUGUGAGGAGCAAGUCUCCUGAGACAAACAGACAGGAAGUGUCACCAAACACAUGGAUACAUCAUCACUGUGUGAAAUUAAACAUUGAAGAAAAAUACAAGUAGAGUAAAACCUGAAUCUACACACAAGAACAUCAAUUUCAUGGCAAAAUCAAGCCAGACAGUCCUGCCAUGUUCAGUACUCUACAGUGUGCUCAAAAGUUUAGUAUGAGUGUCCUAGUAUUAUCUAGUAUUAAAAAACCAAGAUAUGUCUUUUUAACUACACACAUUGCUAAGACAUUGUGACAACGGUUCUAUGUGUUUCAAUAUGCUCUGUCUCUAUGAUUGAAGGAUCUAUGAAUCCACAAGGGGCAGGAACCCACACACACUAAUAUAUAAAGAUAUAGUCCAUCAUCUGUAACAACUAGGCAUCAACAUUUUUUCUUCAUGAGUCAAUAUGUAAAUACUUGUAAAAUUAUAUGUCUUAAGUUUAAGUGAGAUAUUUGGCAUAGGGAAAAAAUCUGGGAAGGAUAGAAUGGAGAAAAUUUUAUAAGUGUGGACUUAUGGUAUUAUACACUAGAACUGGAUUUAUAAGAACAGCCUCCCAUGGGCAAAAAAAAAUAGAAUGGAGGAUAACAGAAUAAAAUAGAGGACACAGAAAGAAAACCAUAUAGCUAUGUUUACUUAAUACAAAGGAGGCAAAAAGAUACAUUACCAAAAUUGGCCUCUUUAGCAAAUGGUGCUGGCAAAACUGGAUCCAGCAGAGAAAUAACAUUAGAUUCUUAUCUUUUAACUUACACAAAAUCUAUUCAAAACUGAUCAAAUACGUUAUUUAAAACCAGAAACACAGAAACCUAGAAAAUGUAGGGAAUAUCCAUCAGGAAAUGGAAUAAACAAGAAUUUGUUGAAUAGAAAGAACACCAACAGCAACAGAUUAGGAUUAGGGAACUAACCCUAAUCAACAGAUGGGAGGACAAGAAUAUAAAGUUUCUGUCCAGCAAAGGGAAUAAUCAGCAGGGCACACAGACAGCCACAGAAUGGAAGAGAAUCUGUAGCAGCAACACUCUGGAUUGGGGUUCAUAUCUAGAACUCACUAAGAAUUACAGAAAUUAAAUAUUAAGGAAAUCAACAAAUGAGUAAAUGAACUGAGCAGAUACCUUGAGAAGAUGGAAAUAGAAAUGGCCAAUAAAUAUUGCAAAAAGUGUUGAGGAUCCCAGAAAUGCUAUCAGAGAGAGUACACAAAUUAAAACUACUUCAAAACAGUGUCUCACUCCAAAAAAAAAAAAAAAAUGGCUGCCAACAACCAAUUUGACAACAAAUGAUUAGAUGCAGAGAUAAAGUAACUUUUAUUCACUGUCUUUGUGUAUGUAUGUGUGGUGUGUGUGUGUGCAAAUUAAUACACGCAAGUUGAAAUCAGUUUGAAGAUUAUUAAAAAUUUUAAAAAAAAGUAUGAGUCUGAAGUUUCACUCUUGGGAGCAUACUCAGAGAACCCCACAUCCCACUCUAAGGAUAUUUAUACCCUAUGUUUCUGAUACUUUAUUCACUAGAGAAAUUUACUGAAGUCAUCCUAAUUAUCAAUCCAUGAAUGUAUAAUGAAAAUGGUAUGUAUAUAAAAUGGAAAUCUAUUUGGGUGAAAAGAAAAAAAUAUAAUAAUUUUAGGAAAAUGGAUGGACUUAGAAUGCAUACUAUCAAGUGAGUUCAUACAGUGUCAGAAAGAAGCUACUUUUUCUAUCAUAUGCCAUAUCUAGCCAAUAUAUCUAUAUGGAAAUAAUGUACAUGGUGGCAUAGUAGAACAUGGAGAAAAGAGAACAUGAAAGGUUAAAAAUCAGGGGUUGAGGUAGGGCUGAAUGUGGGUAAUGAAAACCAGUUAUGAAAGAGUAUAAAGCAAACUCUCUUUCUAGUUCUGAUACUGUCACAGGAUUUUUUUGGGUUUGGUGGUGGAUAAAUUCAUAAAAAUAUAUUUGAUAGUGAAAACAAAAUCAAAUGUGGGACUCCAGAGCUUAUGUUCCCAAUGACUACUCUAUAUUCAUGUGUAUAGUCUUUAGGAUUAGCUAAUUUUAGCGUGUGAUUCUGUUUGUUUUCAACACACUAUAAUUAAGCUAAAAAUUAUCAGGAACAGAAAAUUAAAGGCUUAUAAUGUCUGAAAAUAUAACAUUUCUAGAAAAAAAAGAACAUGACCUUGGACAUGCUAACUGAAGAGUCAGCCAUUUUUUCUGUUUCUCUUCUUUGGGUUUCUUUUUCAGGAACAAUGAAUAGGUGACCUGCCACCCUUUCAUAUCAAAGGGUCAAAAAAAACCCCCCAAUAAUUAAUGCUGAUAGCUGUUAAAGAACAGUGUUAAACCACAUAAAAAGAUCCAAGCAGCAGAAUACUACCAGGUACCCUGUCAAUGAUCCCAUAGAAUCACACUUGAAACUUGGAGAGAAAAAUCCCUGUCAACAAUAUUGUUGCACUAGGAAAUAUAACCUCUCUAAACUGGUGGAGACAUAGUCCAUUUAAACAUAAUCAGGACAGUACAUAAAAAAUUAGAAGAAAAAUGUACACAGGAGAAUCAGAGGAAUUAUCUGACAAUAUAGAAACUAAUAAACUUCAUGUGAAAAACAGGUAAAUACAGGAAAACUGAAAAGUAAUCAUCUGUGGGCAAGACAAGAAAACACUAAUACUUAUAGAGAAGGAAGAAGAAUACUACCAAUAAUCAAACCAGAAACAACAUGAAAAACAAAAGGAUUAGGGGGGAAGAAAACCAUGAACAAAAGAUUCAGUCACUCUGGAUAUCAAUAUGGAGAAUCCUCAAUCAAAUAAAGAAAUCCUCAAGUUACAUGAAUCUAGCACAUGACAGAGCUAUUCUACUCCUUGGCACAUGCUCAAAGGGCUCAACAUCCUACUCCACAGAUAUGUGCUCACACAUGUCCAUUGCUGUUAUAUCCACAAUAGCCACAAAAUGGGAACCACCUGUCCUGCAACUGACAAACAGAUAAUGAAAAAGAGGUACAUACACACUAUGGAAUAUUAUUUAUUGAACUGUAAAGAAAAUUGAAGUCAUGAGAUUUGCAGGUAAAUGGAUGGACGUAGGAGUAGGACUGAGUGGAGUAACCAAAACCCACAAUGACAGGCACUGCAUGUUCUCUCUCACAGGAAGGUCCUCCCUCCAAAUCUUCAGAUGUGAGUUCACAACCUGGAGUAACUGCAGUAAUCAGAAAAGUAAAAAUAGGCCACGGGGGUGGGGUGGGGAUGGGGGAGAUGUUGGGGAAUCAGAGAGAGAAACUGAUCUAGAGGGGGACAUGGAAAAACAGGACAUGACUAAUAUCUAAGAGUUCUACAGGGAUGCUAAGUCACAAAGUAUAUACCCUGGUAUAACAGGGGAGUUAGUGUGGAUGAAUGUGAAUUCCAAGAGUUUCACCUCAACAAAGAGUAUUCUAAUAAAAUUUUUUUGGUUAUCAGAAGAUCGGGGGGAAGGGAGAGCGUCAGUCCACUUUAUAUGAGCUAAAAUUUAUCCACAAGGGAAGACAUCCACUGCAGAAUUUCAGAGGCAGCUUCCUUAUGAACAGUAAGUAGAGCUGUUUCUCAGCUCCACAGCUCCUAUAGCCCGGCAGCGGUUCCAGAUGCUGCACUGCUGAUUGCUGACUCUCCCAGGAUGCCCCGCGCGGCACCCGCAGCUGCGGAAAUUUUAGUCCCUCCCUCCCUCGCCCCCCGAAGUCCACUCCCACCCCAAGUCUGCACACCACGCGAUUCCCAACGGUGCAGACCCGCGAGCUGUCGAAGCGACUUCUGGCUUUGUAGAUAAAACUUCCCUAACUUCAGUAAUUUAGCGUUCCAGUUCUCACCCAUGUCUUUCCUCUAAUACCUCACACUCUAGUUUCCCUACACAUCGCUAAAAGUCGAACAUCCUCCCAAUAUGCUUCCGGAUCUCCAAAUCUGUUUCCGGAGUUCAGAACAGGGUACUGGAUGCCUUGGAGUUGAGGUUACAGAUUGAGUGCCCAUGUGAGAGAGCUGAGAGUGCUCUCAACUACUGAGUCAUCUCUAAAUGCCAGUGGACCAUGAGACUACAUGGAGAUGCCAGGAUGCUAGAAAUGCACCUUGUAGUGGAGAGAUUCAGGAAGAGAGAGGAGGACAGGGUGAACACUGGAAUACAGGUGAUAUGAAAAUAGAGAGUGGGAAUGCUGAGUGCAUGGUUCUAACAUGUAGUGGAGUGAUGGGGAAGAAAGGGGGCUGCUAAAGCUCGACUCACAUGAGAUGUCCACAAAUGAGCUACAUGGAAACCUCUUGUUUUGCAUCCCAAGUAAAAAGAGGGAAUAGCAGAACACAUGUGCUAUAAAAGAAUGGGGUACUGGACGAUGUGUAAUAUGUGUUUAACUCAAGAUGCAGACAGGAAGAAAGAGGAGUUGGUGGGUUAUCGAAGAUAAGGCUUUAUAAAGAAGCCAUAUGAAACCCCACCAUCUUACAAGUUAUAUAGGAGAUAUUAUUUUAAAGCCAUUGAGCAGCAGUGUCACAUGUGCUUACUUAAUGCUGCUUUCAGAUGCCAGAGCUAUUAAUUGGAGUUCUCUGUACCAGAUAUUUGUAUCUGCUUAGGACUUACUCCUCAUGGAGGACACAGAGGCACCCCAAACAAAACAGGUCAUUGUCAGUUCUCUUGCAUGGCCUUCCUAAGCUCAUGGUGGCUAUUGAUGACAUCAAAAGCUUUGGUUGCAAGAUAGGCAGAGAACAAUCUUGAACAUACAAGGAAACCCUCCUAACUGGUUAGCUUUUGUAGCACCUCAAGGUACAAUACAGGCUGCCAGCAGAGAAAUGAUGUCGUGGUCUUACCCCUGAACCAUGUAUCCUACUGGACGAAUUCACUAUCCAAGAUGGUGAACUCACACACAGAUGCACCUAUCUCUGUGUGCAGAGCACGGUGAUGACUGGUGUACAUCAUCACAUCCUUAGCCUUUGAGUAUGUCUAAGCUAUAUGUCAACAUUCCAAUUAUAUCACAUGCACAGCCUAGCUCAUUACAGUUUGUCUCUUGAUAUAUUUAAGGAUUAAUGCUAUUAUGAAGAUUUUGAAAAUGAAUGAAAGAUGACAAUUAGAACACUGACUUUCAUGAUGAAUUUCCUUUUAUCUCUGCAAUUUUAGCACUAUUUUGUAAAGCAUUUGUCAAAUUCAAAACAAUUGUUGGUGAUGUAAUUUCCAAAGAGACAUGGGGAAUAUAUAAGGUAUACUUUAGCAUGGUUUCUCAGAAAUAUAUACUUUCUGACAUUCAUUUUAAUUACACGUCUUUGCCAGAUUUUUAUGUUAUUAUAUGUUGUUCUUAUUUACCUUUUUUUCUUUUUUUGAGACAGGGUCUCUGUACUCCUGACAGUGCUAGAACUCACUAUGUAGACAAGUACUCACAGUGAUCUGCUUGGCUGUAUCUUCUAAGUGCUACAAUUAAAGGCAUGCACCAUCUUACCUGGCA